rnacentral:rRNA from 1 species
CGAACGCUGGCGGCGUGCCUAAUACAUGCAAGUCGAGCGAAUCGANGGGAGCUUGCUCCCUGAGAUUAGCGGCGGACGGGUGAGUAACACGUGGGCAACCUGCCUAUAAGACUGGGAUAACUUCGGGAAACCGGAGCUAAUACCGGAUACGUUCUUUUCUCGCAUGAGAGAAGAUGGAAAGACGGUUUACGCUGUCACUUAUAGAUGGGCCCGCGGCGCAUUAGCUAGUUGGUGAGGUAAUGGCUCACCAAGGCGACGAUGCGUAGCCGACCUGAGAGGGUGAUCGGCCACACUGGGACUGAGACACGGCCCAGACUCCUACGGGAGGCAGCAGUAGGGAAUCUUCCGCAAUGGAC